UACAGGGGGUGCAAACGUUGCUCGGAAUCAUUGGGCGUAAAGCGCACGUAGGCGGUUCGUUAUGUCGGAUGUGAAAGCCCUUGGCUUAACCGAGGAAGUGCAUCCGAAACUGGCGAGCUAGAGUACGAAAGAGGAUCGCGGAAUUCCCGGUGUAGAGGUGAAAUUCGUAGAUAUUAGGAAGAACACCAGUGGCGAAGGCGGCUCACUGGCCCGGUACUGACGCUGAGGCGCGAAAGCGUGGGGAGCAAACAGG
rnacentral:rRNA from 1 species